UACGUGGCUGAAUUAUGAGAAAAUCACAUUAACUUCUUCUGAAAUUGGCAACUUAGAGAUGAGGAGUUUUGACAUGGAAGUAUGAAGAAAAGGUAGAUUUAAAAGAAAAAAUACUGAAGAGGAAUGCAGGAUGAAAAUGAAGAGUUUGAGACUCAAGAAUGGUGGGAAAUGAGAAGAAAGGGCUAUCAGGAUCUGUAGACAUCAAAUCAAAUCAAGUUUACAAAUGUUUGAUUCAUCAAAGUCCAGUAGCAAGACAAGAGUCAAGUUGCCUGGCGAUACCCUAGGAUGCAGUGGAUGACCUUAACAUCUUUGAUGUCUGAUCAAGCUCUAUGUGCUCCAUAGUACCUGCUUCAGCUGCCUCCAUGGCUGUUGGAAGAAGUCGUUCUUAUAUGUGCAUCCUACUUUGGAAGUCUUCACAUGAUUGAAGUAAACACUCUCCUAUCACUGACAAGUUUGACCCUCAUCUGACAAGAUGGUUUUCCUGGGGUAUGGCUGUUGUACAUGCCACAGCUUCUUGGAGACACAGAUAAGAGUUUGGUGACAGGUGGACAUUGAAACUGGAUGAGCAACCCUAAAGAGGGCUCAGCAUGCCCUCCCACCAAAGGUGUUAGUCCUCCCUAAACAUUGCACUAGAGGCACAAAGGCAAAAGUGAAAUAGCCCCUUUUCAAGGAGCUCAGAUUCUAUUUGGAGAAGUUGUAAGUUUUUUGACCAUAGGGAAUAGGUACAUAAAUAGUUCAUAUUUCUAUAUCACUUUAAGGUUUACAAAAUGCUUUUCCAAGCCAAGUGCAUUUUGGUAGUCCCUAUUGCUAGGGAGGCUAAGGCUUGGAAUCAGGUGUUCUGAGCAUCAAUAGGACUGAAGCACUUAUUGGGUUUCUGUACCAUUUGGCAUCAGUAUGAUGGGUGCCUAGGAAUGUAGAGUUACAAGGUUGUGUAAGGAGAAGAAAACUGGACAGUUUGGGGAGGGGAUGGAUUAAACUUCUGUGCCAAUUAGUAUUGAGAACUUGUGAGUACCAAUCUUUCUUCCAGCCUGGAUAAGAUAAGGGGACCCAGUCUCAAAAAAAAAAAAAAAGCUUUCUUAGUGCUAAAUUCAGUGCCUGACACAUACUAGUUGCCCAAUCAAUGAUUGUAGAUUUGACUUUUCUAACGAC
rnacentral:lncRNA from 1 species